GAUGAACGCUAGCGACAGGCUUAACACAUGCAAGUCGAACGGCAGCACAGGUAGCAAUACUGGGUGGCGAGUGGCGCACGGGUGCGUAACGCGUAUGCAACCUACCUCUAUCUGGGAGAUAGCCCGAAGAAAUUCGGAUUAAUACCCCAUAAUAUAUGUCUUUCGCAUGUUAGACAUAUUAAAGCUUUGGCGGAUAGAGAUGGGCAUGCGUGACAUUAGCUAGUUGGUAAGGUAACGGCUUACCAAGGCUACGAUGUCUAGGGGGUCUGAGAGGAUUAUCCCCCACACUGGUACUGAGACACGGACCAGACUCCUACGGGAGGCAGCAGUGAGGAAUAUUGGACAAUGGGCGAAAGCCUGAUCCAGCCAUGCCGCGUGCAGGAAGAC
rnacentral:rRNA from 1 species